AUGGUGCCGCAUAUCCUAAAGGCACCCGAUCAUGUCAGAUUUUGGAUGCUAAGCAGGGUCAGCCCUGGUUAGUACUUGGAUGGGAGAUCACCAAUGAAUACAAGCUGUUGGGUCCAAC
rnacentral:rRNA from 1 species